rnacentral:rRNA from 1 species
UACGAAGGGGGCUAGCGUUGCUCGGAAUCACUGGGCGUAAAGGGUGCGUAGGCGGGUCUUUUAAGUCAGGGGUGAAAUCCUGGAGCUCAACUCCAGAACUGCCUUUGAUACUGGGAGUCUUGAGUUCGGGAGAGGUGAGUGGAACUGCGAGUGUAGAGGUGAAAUUCGUAGAUAUUCGCAAGAACACCAGUGGCGAAGGCGGCUCACUGGCCCGAUACUGACGCUGAGGUGCGAAAGCGUGGGGAGCAAACAGG